rnacentral:rRNA from 1 species
UCAGUCGACUCCUACGGGGAGGCAGCAGUGGGGGAAUAUUGCACAAUGGGGGAAACCCUGAUGCAGCCAUGCCGCGUGUGUGAAGAAGGCCUCGGGUUGUAAAGCACUUUCAGUCGUGAGGAAAGGUUUGUAGCUAAUAUCUGCAAGCUGUGACGUUAGCGACAGAAGAAGCACCGGCUAACUCCGUGCCAGCAGCCGCGGUAAUACGGAGGGUGCGAGCGUUAAUCGGAAUUACUGGGCAUAAAGCGUGCGUAGGCGGUUUCUUUAAGCGAGAUGUGAAAUCCCGGGGCUCAACCUCGGAACUGCAUUUCGAACUGGGUGACUAGAGUACUGUAGAGGGUGGUGGAAUUUCCAGUGUAGCGGUGAAAUGCGUAGAGAUUGGAAGGAACAUCAGUGGCGAAGGCGGCCACCUGGACAGAUACUGACGCUGAGGCACGAAAGCGUGGGGAGCAAACAGGAUUAGAUACCCUGGUAG